GAAACUUUAAAUCUAGCCUCAUAAAAAUAAUUCUGACAUAUUCUUCAGUUUUCAUAAUUUCUAACAUUAUACAUUUUCUGCUAAAAUAUCAACCCCGUUCUGCACAAAAAAUUCUAAAUCUUCUGUUUUCAUUCCGAUUUCAGAACGAGUCACUUCUGACUCAUAUUUUACUUCUUUAAAUCCAAUAAAAAUAGUAUUUCAUACUAUUUUAUUUAUUUUUACUUUUAUAUUAAAAUCCGGUAUAUUACAUUCCACCGUAACUUCAUAACUACAGAUGUUCGGCACCUUACACAAACCCUGUCAAAAAACAACACUUCCCACUAGGCUGGCAACUGACGAAUCC
rnacentral:lncRNA from 1 species